rnacentral:rRNA from 1 species
AGCGAACGCUGGCGGCAUGCCUAACACAUGCAAGUCGUGACGGGCCUGGGGGCUUGCUCCGGGGUCAGUGGCGGACGGGUGACGGAACGCGUAGGAACGUAUCCAAGAGUGGGGGAUAACCGCGGGAAACUGCGGCUAAUACCGCAUGGGGCCUCAAGGGAGACCUGGGGGCCAAAGGCUGAGGGAAACCUUGGUCGCCGAUGGAGCGGCCUGCGUCCGA